rnacentral:rRNA from 1 species
UACGUAGGGUGCGAGCGUUAAUCGGAAUUAUUGGGCGUAAAGGGCGCGUAGGCGGUUUGACAAGUCUGAUGUGAAAUCUAUGGGCUCAACCCAUAGCCUGCAUUAGAAACUGUCGGGCUUGAGUAUGGGAGAGGUGAGUGGAAUUUCCGGUGUAGCGGUGAAAUGCGUAGAUAUCGGAAGGAACACCUGUGGCGAAAGCGGCUCACUGGACCAUAACUGACGCUGAGGCGCGAAAGCUAGGGGAGCAAACAGG